ACUGGCUGGUCCCAGAAACAACAUCCUGGUGCUGCCUGAGUGUGUAAUGCAAACUCCAGCAUCAGUGAUUUUGUUGCUGGGGGCGUGCCCCU